rnacentral:lncRNA from 1 species
GCUGCCCUUUUUAUAAUUUAGAACCCAAAGUCGAAUAACAACACCACAUUCACUAUAAGGUUCAGAUAAAAUUAAUAUGCAGUAGUAAAAAUCAACCACAAUUUAAUUUUAACCUAAUCAAAAAUUAGUUGAAGAACAAGUACCAAGGGUUUCAUAGACAUAGGAAAGGCGUACCAGGUACGAUGGGCCAAAAGCAAUUCCAGUAAGCCUUGACUGGUCUUCCCUAGGCCGAUUCUUCAUCAACUCAUCCUGGUUCACCUCAACAAAUUUCUGUGGAACAUCUUUCCUGCCUCUCUUACCAGGCAAUGUCAAUGCAACUUGAGCCGUAUCGGUAACUGCUGAUGCUGAUGCUGUUGUACUUGACCCAUCAGUCCAUUUAUGAUCAUACUGUUCAUAGCCAGUGAAAGUCCCACUAUUGCUGUCAUAGCCAGUGUAAGUACCACUAUUGCUGUCAUAGCCAGGAUAAUUCUCAUAACCACUAGUCCCAUCAUUAGCACAGCUUUCAGGGUCGACAUAACCAUGUCCACCCCAGUUGGAGGAGUAAUCGCCUCCCAGGCAAUGUCAAUGCAACUUCAGCCGUUUCUGUAAUUGCUGAUGCUGAUGCUGUUGUACUAGACCCAUCAGUCCAUUUAUGAUCAUACAGUUCAUAGCCAGUGUAUGUCCCACUAUUGCUGUCAUAGCCA